UCUGCCUGUACGGGGACAGUCAUUUGUUAUACUUGUUUGGUUGUAACGAGCUGCAAGCCGUGAUAUCUUACUCAGACUAGCAUUCAGACGCCUGUCAAGAGAAGAUUUGUAAGUUCCAGGA